rnacentral:tRNA from 1 species
GGGAAUUAGCUCAGUGGUAGAGCGCCUGCUUUGCACGCAGGAGGUCGGGGAUUCGACCUCCUCAU